UGUGUGUGUGUGUGUGUGUGUGUGUGUGUGUGUGUAGUGUGUUUGUCAGUGUGUGUGUGUGUGUGUAGUGUGUUUGUCAGUGUGUGUAGUGUGUUUGUCAGUGUGUGUGUAUUGUGUGUUUGUCAGUGUGUGUGUGUAGUGUGUGUUUGUCAGUGUGUGUGUGUAGUGUGUGUUUGUCAGUGUGUGUCUGCAGUGUGUGUGUGUAGUGUGUGUUUGUCAGUGUGAGUGUGUAGUGUGUGUUUGUCAGUGUGUGUUGUGUGUGUGUGUGUGUAGUGUGUUUGUCAGUGUGUGUAGUGUGUUUGUCAGUGUGUGUGUAGUGUGUGCUUGUCAGUGUGUGUGUGUAGUGUGUGUUUGUCAGUGUGUGUGUGUAGUGUGUGUUUGUCAGUGUGUGUCUGCAGUGUGUGUGUGUAGUGUGUGUUUGUCAGUGUGUGUUUGUCAGUGUGUGUGUGUAGUGUGUGUUUGUCAGUGUGAGUGUGUAGUGUGUGUUUGUCAGUGUGUGUGUGUGUAGUCUGUGUGUGCAGUGUGUGUUUGUCAGUGUGUGUGUGCAGUGUGUGUUUGUCAGUCUGUGUGUGCGUGUAGUGUAUGUUUGUCAGUGUGUGUGUGUGUGUGUGUGUGUGUGUGUGUGUGUGUGUGUGUGUGUGUGUGUGUGUGUGUGUGUGUGUGUUUGUCAGUGUGUGCGUGUAGUGUGUGUGUAGUGUAUGUUUGUCAGUGUGUGUGUGUGUGUGUAGUGUGUGUUUGUCAGUGUGUGUGUGUGUAGUGUGUGUUUGUCAGUGUGUGUGUGUGUGUGUGUAGUGUAUGUUUGUCAGUGUGUGUGUGUGUGUGUAGUGUAUGUUUGUCAGUGUGUGUGUGUGUGUGUGUGUGUGUGUGUGUGUGUGUGUGUGUGUGUGUGUGUGUGUGUGUGUGUGUGUGUGUGUGUGUAGUGUGUGUGUAGUGUAUGUUUGUCAGUGUGUGUGUGUGUGUAGUGUGUGUUUGUCAGUGUGUGUGUGCAGUGUGUGUCUGCAGUGUGUGUUUGUCCGUGUGCGUGUGUGUGUGUGUGUUUGUCAGUGUGUGUGUGUGUGU
rnacentral:lncRNA from 1 species